UACGUAGGUGGCAAGCGUUGUCCGGAUUUACUGGGCGUAAAGAGCGCGCAGGCGGUCGUUCAAGUCGCGUGUGAAAGCCCCCGGCUCAACUGGGGAGGGUCACGCGAUACUGAUCGACUCGAAGGCAGGAGAGGGUAGUGGAAUUCCCGGUGUAGUGGUGAAAUGCGUAGAUAUCGGGAGGAACACCAGUGGCGAAGGCGACUACCCGGCCUGUUCUUGACGCUGAGGCGCGAAAGCUAGGGGAGCAAACAGG
rnacentral:rRNA from 1 species